rnacentral:rRNA from 1 species
CUACGGGUUGCUCCAGUGGGGAAUAUUGGACAAUGGGGGAAUCCCUGAUCCAGCAAUGCCGCGUGUGUGAAGAAGGCCUGCGGGUUGUAAAGCACUUUCGGUUGGGAGGACUGCUUCUAGCACUAAUAUUGUUGGAAGUUGACGUUACCUUCAGAAGAAGCACCGGCUACUCCGUGCCAGCAGCCGCGGCAAUACGGAGGGUGCAAGCGUUAAUCGGAAUUACUGGGCGUAAAGCGCGCGUAGGCGGCUAGAUCAGUCGGGUGUGAAAGCCCCGGGCUUAACCUGGGAACUGCAUCCGAUACUGUCUAGCUUGAGUACAGGAGAGGAGAGUGGAAUUCCACAUGUAGCGGUGAAAUGCGUAGAUAUGUGGAGGAACACCAAUGGCGAAGGCAGCUCUCUGGCCUGAUACUGACGCUGAGGUGCGAAAGCGUGGGGAGCAAACAGGAUUAGAUACCCGAGUAGUC